rnacentral:rRNA from 1 species
AAGAGAGUCAAAAAGACCGCGAAACCGUUAGGAGGGAAACGAAUGCGGCUGAAGUGGCUCCCCGUCAGGCUCAGGAGACGUCGUGGCGGUUCCCGUCGGGUCGCGGUUGCUCGCCGCGGCAAGUCUGGCCGUCCGACCACUCUGCACUUCUGCGGGGAGCCGGCCAACGGCAGUCGCUCCCGGCCCAGGAGGGCGUCGGGGCAGGUGGCUCCGCGUUCGCGUGGGGAACUUAUAGCCCGGCGCCUGGACGUUCCGGGGGCGACUGAGGAGAGUUGCGAGUCUCGCACGUUGCAGCGCAGGCCCCCCUCGUUGGGGGCUGGGCCGCUCUUGUCGGGCAGGCAGCCGAGGCGGUCACUGCGUGCAGUGGCAGUCGACGGUCCUGCGGGCCGGGCGGGAGGCCGGUCGCACCUUGCGCUGCGGUCGUUGGUGCCCGAAUGGCCGCAUCCGACCCGUCUUGAAACACGGACCAAGGAGUGCAACAUGCGUGCGAGUCUCUGGGUGGCAAACCCGUGGGCGCAAUGAAGGUGAAGGCGGUGCCUCUGGCCCGCUGUGGCGAGAGCCCCUCCCCGCGGGGGGCGCAUCGUCGACCGUUCCCGAGUCACGCUGUGGCGGGAUAUGAGUGAGAGCGUGCCUGUUGCGACCCGAAAGAUGGUGAACUAUGCCUGAAUAGGGUGAAGCCAGAAGAAAUUCUGGUGGAAGCUCGUAGCGAUUCUGACGUGCAAAUCGAUCGUCAAAUUUGGGUAUAGGGGCGAAAGACU